GAUGAACGCUGGCGGCGUGCCUAAUACAUGCAAGUCGAGCGAACGGACGAGAAGCUUGCUUCUCUGAUGUUAGCGGCGGACGGGUGAGUCACACGUGGAUAACCUACCUAUAAGACUGGGAUAACUUCGGGAAACCGGAGCUAAUACCGGAUGAUAUUUUGAACCGCAUUGUUCAAAAGUGAAAGACGGUCUUGCUGUCACUUAUAGAUGGAUCCGCGCUGCAUUAGCUAGUUGGUAAGGUAACGGCUUACCAAGGCAACGAUGCAUAGCCGACCUGAGAGGGUGAUCGGCCACACUGGAACUGAGACACGGUCCAGACUCCUACGGGAGGCAGCAGUAGGGAAUCGUCCGCAAUGGGCGAAAGCCUGACGGAGCAACGCCGCGUGAGUGAUGAAGGUCUUCGGAUCGUAAAACCCUGUUAUUAGGGAAGAACAGAUGUGUAAGUAACUGUGCACAUCUUGACGGUACCUAAUCAGAAAGCCACGGCUAACUACGUG
rnacentral:rRNA from 1 species